rnacentral:lncRNA from 1 species
UGUGGGUCCUUCUAUUCACAACUUACUGUUAAUAAACUCACUCCUAGAUACAGCUAGUAUAGUUGCCCACAGCUGUUUAUGGUCGGCAAUAAUAAUGGCUGAAUAGUAUAUAGCACAUAGGAUUCCUAGUUCCCCUCUUAAACUUGUGGCUCUCACAUCUUUCACCCCUCUCUUCUAGAGUGUUCUCAGAUCCUUGAAGAGGAUGUCUUUAUUGCACCAAGGAUAUGGUGGUUUUUUACUACAUCCUGAAAAAGCCUCCAUUUCUCUUCACCCUGGAACAACGGAAAGAUCUGUAUGUAAUGAAUGAAGAAAGAACCUGAGAAAAUAAUGAAGCAAACUUUUCCCCAAAUAAUUCCUAUGUUUUAAAAAUUCUUGUUUCUGGAGUCAUUUGAGAAACAAUCCAACCUCUUGCUAUGUACAUCUAUACAGUUCACUCUGCAAUCCCUUCUUAUUUGCUGCAUGUGUCAUCCCAUUGCCUAAUGUAAGUGGUUUCAAAGCUCUGGACAGUGUCCUCUUGUGCAUCUGUAUCCCCUCUUCUCUCCUGCUACAUUUCAUUCUUG